rnacentral:rRNA from 1 species
UACGUAGGUGACAAGCGUUGUCCGGAUUUACUGGGCGUAAAGAGCGCGCAGGCGGUCGUUCAAGUCGAGUGUGAAAGCCCCCGGCUCAACUGGGGAGGGUCACUCGAUACUGAUCGACUCGAAGGCAGGAGAGGGAAGUGGAAUUCCCGGUGUAGUGGUGAAAUGCGUAGAUAUCGGGAGGAACACCAGUGGCGAAGGCGACUUCCUGGCCUGUUCUUGUCGCUGAGGCGCGAAAGCUAGGGGAGCAAACGGG